CACCGCGGUUAUACGAGAGGCCUAAGCUAACAGACACCGGCGUAAAGAGUGGUUAAGGAGAAAUCAAAACUAAAGCCGAAUAACCUCAAGACUGUUAUACGUUACCGAGGACAAGAAGCCCAACUACGAAAGUGGCUUUAAUUUCCCCGACUCCACGAAAGCUGUGGAA
rnacentral:rRNA from 1 species